rnacentral:ribozyme from 11 species
UCGGAAUGAAAUCAUGAAGAGCGAAUAUAAAAAAUCAUGCAGAACAAAAUAGUGAAAAAAAGGACACAUGAAAAUUGAUGCAUCGAUUCAUUUAUUUUUUCGUUCAUGUGCCUUCAUUCUGACCUA